GUAUAGCAAUAGCUAAUUGCACCAACAAAUAGUUGAUGCAAUAUCGACUAUGUCGAAUAAAAUUCUAGGUAGAAUUAUGAUAAUGACAUUGUCUGCCUAUGUGUCUUGACCAAAUUACGUGCCAGCAGUCGCGGUAAUACGUAGAAGACUAGUGUUAUUCAUCUUUAAUAGGUUUAAAGGGUACCUAGACGGUAAAUCAAGCCUUCAAGGGGACUAAUUUACUAGAGUUACUUGUGAGGGGGUAUUAAAGUACUAAUGGUGUAGAGAUGAAAUUCUGUCAUACCUAUUUUCGGAAGAAAAAUUAUGGCACAGGUAUAGGCGAAAGCAUCCCCUUAUGUGAUAACUGACGUUGAAGGACGAAGGCUUUGUGUCGCGAACAGGAUUAGAUACCCCAGUAGUCAAAGCAGAAAAUGAUGAAUGUCAUAGAUUAGACAGUUAGUUUAUUCUAUAAAUGAAAGUGUAAGCAUUCCACCUCAAGAGUAAUUUGGCAACAUUGGAACUGAAAUCAUUAGACCGUUUCUGAAACCAGUAGUGAAGUAUGUUGUUUAAUUUGAUGGCCCGCAAAAAACCUUACCACAAUUUGAAUAUUUAUAUCUUUUCAUAUCUUUUUUCUAUUUAAAAGAUGGAAGCUAUGAUAAAAAAAAGAUAUCUUUACAAGCGUUGCACGGCUGUCUUCAGUUAAUGUCGUGAGACUAUGGUUAGUUCCAUUAAAUUAACGUAAACCCUUACUUUAUUUUUAUAUAAAGUAGUUCUCCACUAGAUUGGAUAAGAUAACAGGGACUAAGACAAGUCAUCAUGGCCUAAAUAUUG
rnacentral:rRNA from 1 species